UAUAAAUAAGACACAUUGGCAUCAUAAUUUUGUUCAUAUGCUUCUAAUAAAGAUGAAAUCCAAAUUUCAUCUUUUGUUUGCUCUCUCCUCUUUAUUCUAGGGUUUCUAGAUUUUUGGGUGUGAGUCAUUAGAGCAUCCAUAAUUUUGGUGCUUGCUUUCCAAGGAAGGUUUGAAAAAAAUAGAUUGUUAUAUUCAAUUAUAGCAAAAGAGUAUGGUGGAGUUGGCGAAUAAACGGGGCAUGGACAUGACAUUGGAGGAAGCAUAUCCCAAAAAGAUCGUCCUAUCACUGAUUCCCUACAAAAACACGACACAAUUGUCCGAUUCCCUACAUCACACUACAAAAUUUGUGGUUAUGAGAGGAAUUUCCUUGAAUUUGAUUAACGUUUAUCGAUUUGUCUAAUAAAAUUAAAGUAGUUGUUUUUGUCA